UUGAACGCUGGCGGCAUGCCUUACACAUGCAAGUCGAACGGCAGCACGGGGGCAACCCUGGUGGCGAGUGGCGAACGGGUGAGUAAUGUAUCGGAACGUACCCAGUCGUGGGGGAUAACUAUCCGAAAGGAUAGCUAAUACCGCAUACGUCCUGAGGGAGAAAGCGGGGGAUCGCAAGACCUCGCGCGAUUGGAGCGGCCGAUAUCGGAUUAGCUAGUUGGUGAGGUAAAGGCUCACCAAGGCGACGAUCCGUAGCGGGUCUGAGAGGACGACCAGCCACACUGGAACUGAGACACGGUCCAGACUCCUACGGGAGGCAGCAGUGGGGAAUUUUGGACAAUGGGGGAAACCCUGAUCCAGCCAUUCCGCGUGAGUGAAGAAGGCCUUCGGGUUGUAAAGCUCUUUCAGCAGGAACGAAACGGUCGGCUUUAACAAAGUCGGCUAAUGACGGUACGUGCAGAAGAAGCACCGGCUAACUACGU
rnacentral:rRNA from 1 species